rnacentral:rRNA from 1 species
CCCUUAGAUGUCCUGGGCUGCACGCGCGCUACACUGAUGCGUCCAAUAAGCACCUAACCUAAUCCGAAGGGACCGGGUAACCUUAGCAAAGCGCAUCGUGAUGGGGAUAGAUUAUUGCAAUUAUUAGUCUUGAACGAGGAAUUCCUAGUAAGCGCAAGUCAUCAGCUUGUGUUGAUUACGUCCCUGCCCUUUGUACACACCGCCCGUCGCUACUACCGAUUGAACGGUUUAGUGAGGGCCUCGGAUUGGUCUCGGCCCGCUCUUUACCGGGCGGCGCCGUUGGUCGAGAAGACGCUCGAACUUGAUCGUUUAGAGGAAGUAAAAGUCGUAACA